GCAGAGGGGGGUGGCCAGCCAGAACACAAGUGUGCGGCUUGCAUAAUGGAAGGAAAAAGUGGAAAGUCGGGUAGGAGCCUGGAGUAAAUGCUAAAUUCAUAAGGACUGCCUUUAUUCCACAGGCAAAGGAGCAGGAGCACAUCAAAGACUUGCCAAAGAAGCUGCUUAUUUCACAGAAGGAUGGUGCUGGCUGAAAGAUACUUCCUUGAAACUGAGAGAUUGCUUCCUUAGACAGGUCUCCUUGAAGAGGUAUUUGAUUUGCAUUUUAA
rnacentral:lncRNA from 1 species